rnacentral:rRNA from 1 species
UACGAAGGGGGCUAGCGUUGCUCGGAAUCACUGGGCGUAAAGGGUGCGUAGGCGGGUCUUUAAGUCAGGGGUGAAAUCCCAGGGCUCAACCCUGGAACGGCCUUUGAUACUGGAUGCCUGGAGAUCGGGAGAGGUUGGUGGAAUUCCGAGUGUAGAGGUGAAAUUCGUAGAUAUUCGGAGGAACACCAGAAGCGAAGGCGGCCAACUGGCCCGAUACUGACGCUGAGGCGCGAAAGCGUGGGGAGCAAACAGG